UUUAAUGGUUAUGAAAACCUUGAAUUUUCAGAAUUCUAUAAGAAAACUCAUACCAAGAAGAACAAAGAGUGGAUUGAUCCUAUUUGCGCCGUGAAACAUUCAAAGAUGUUGAGCUUGCGAGAAGAAUCUUUCCAAUUCGGUGUGCAAUUAACAUCAGAGGAGAUGUCUAGGCAGGCACUU